rnacentral:rRNA from 1 species
UACGUAGGGUGCGAGCGUUGUCCGGAGUUACUGGGCGUAAAGGGUGCGCAGGCGGUGGCCCGCGUGGGCGGUGAAAGCUCCUGGCUCAACUGGGAGAGGGCCGUCCAGACGGGGUCACUUGAGGGGCGGAGAGGGGCGUGGAAUUCCGGGUGGAGCGGUGAAAUGCGUAGAUAUUCGGAAGAACACCAGUGGCGAAGGCGACUCACUGGACACGUAUUGACGCUGAGGUGCGAAAGCGUGGGGAGCAAACAGG